rnacentral:rRNA from 1 species
GGAUUAGGCAUGCAAGUCGAACGGACCCUUCGGGGUCAGUGGCGAACGGGUGAGGAAUAGAUGGAUAACGUACCCUGGACACGGGGAUAGCGGCGGGGCUUCGGUCCCUUUGCGAAUAGUGCCGGUAUAUACCCGAUGACCCCGCGUGGUUCGCAUUGACCGUUGCGGGCAAAUGCUUCGACGGUCUGGGUGCGGUCCAUCUCCUAUCAGCUUGUUGGUGAGGUAACGGCUCACCAAGGCAUCGACGGGUAGCGGGCGUGAGAAGCGUGGCCCGCCACAUCGGGACUGAGACACUGCCCGGACACCUACGGGUGGCUGCAUGCAACGAAUAUUCGCAAUGGACGAAAGUCUGACGGAGCGACGACGCGUGCAGGAAGAAGUCUUCGGGAUGUAAACUGCUGUCAGGGGCUAGGAAUACGACCAGCCCCAGAGGAAGCACCGGCUAACUUCGUGCCAGCAGCCGCGGUAAUACGGAGGGUGCAAGCGUUGUUCGGAAUUACUUGGCUUAAAGCGCGUGUAGGCGGGACGGCAAGUGUCGGGUGAAAGCCCACGGCUCAACCGUGGAACCGCUCGGCAAACUGCCGCCCUUGAGGCAGGUAGAGGUGACUUU